GAUGAACGCUGGCGGCGUGCCUAAUACAUGCAAGUCGAGCGAAUGGAUUAAGAGCUUGCUCUUAUGAAGUUAGCGGCGGACGGGUGAGUAACACGUGGGUAACCUGCCCAUAAGACUGGGAUAACUCCGGGAAACCGGGGCUAAUACCGGAUAACAUUUUGAACCGCAUGGUUCGAAAUUGAAAGGCGGCUUCGGCUGUCCCUUAUGGAUGGACCCGCGACGCAUUAGCUAGUUGGUGAGGUAACGGCUCACCAAGGCAACGAUGCGUAGCCGACCUGAGAGGGUGAUCGGCCACACUGGGACUGAGACACGGCCCAGACUCCUACGGGAGGCAGCAGUAGGGAAUCUUCCGCAAUGGACGAAAGUCUGACGGAGCAACGCCGCGUGAGUGAUGAAGGCUUUCGGGUCGUAAAACUCUGUUGUUAGGGAAGAACAAGUGCUAGUUGAAUAAGCUGGCACCUUGACGGUACCUAACCAGAAAGCCACGGCUAACUACGUGCCAGCAGCCGCAGUAA
rnacentral:rRNA from 1 species